AUUGAACGCUGGUGGCGUGCUUAACACAUGCAAGUCGAGCGGAGCGGCGAACGGGUGAGUAACGCGUGAGUAACUGCACCCCUCUCUGGGAUAACAGUUGGAAACGGCUGCUAAUAACGGAUAGUGGGGGAUGACUCGCGUCCUAUCAGCUUGUUGGUGGGGUAGUGGCCUCACAAGGCGACGACGGGUAGCCGGCCUGAGAGGGCGACCGGCAACAUUGGGCUGCGAUACUGCCCAAACUCCUACGGGAGGCAGCAGUGGGGAAUAUUGCCCAAUGGGGGAAACCCUGAUGCAGCAACGCCGCGUGCGGUAUGACGGCCUUCGGGUUGUAAACCGCUUUCAGCCAUGACGCGGUAGUGGCAGAAGAAGCACCGGCUAACUACGUGCCAGCAGCCGCGGUAAUAC
rnacentral:rRNA from 1 species